rnacentral:tRNA from 1 species
GCGGCCAUGGUGGAACUGGUAGACACGCCAGCUUGAGGUGCUGGUCCUGAGAGGGGUGGAAGUUCAAGUCUUCUUGGCCGCA